GACUCUUUAAAGUGCGUCAGAGGGAGGCGAACGCCUGGGAACCCGGAGGCCUGGAUCCGGGCCCAGAAUGGAACGGAGUCGGCGCUACUGCCCCGGCCGUGCCUCCAGCCGCCCGCCCGGCCGCCGACCUCUUGGUGUCUUCGCCCUGCGCUCCGGGCUAGCUCCCUCGCUCCUGCGGCGCCCGCUGCGGCUUCUCUCCUCCUCCUUCGCCUCCUCCGCUUCCCUCUUCUCCUCCUCUUCCUCGUUCCUCUCCUCCUCCUCCUCUUCCUCCUCCUCCUCUUUCCCCCUCCUCCUCCCCCUCAGCCACCGCCUCCUACUGCACCCACACCACUCCCUCCGGGGCACCCGGGUCCCUGCAGAGUCUCGGGGCUGCGCUGCCUUUGCUGCGGACCCCUGGAUCCUAAGCCUGCGGCGCUGGAGCUGAUGGGACUGAAUCACCGACGGACACGCAGAUUUCUUCACACCCUAAGCUCCGCUGCGGUUGUCCCCUGGAGGCCCGCGCCCGGGUCACUGAGAUGGCUUCGGGCGCCCGGCGAGGAAGAGCCAAUGAGGCAGCUUGUUAGCACUCAGUAUGUGCCCAGCUCUGAAUGGAAUACUGAUAUGGACAAUGGUACCUCAGGGUGAUGAGGCCCUCAAGAAGAAUGAAAGAUAUAAACCAAACACUGAAGAAAGGAAGCCACAGUGUGGCCCAAAACUAACAAGUUGUUGUACAGCUUACAACCAUCUACCACUCACCUGCUCAUCGGGACCUCAAGCAUCCUUGGCAGAUUUCCCUACGCUGAGAAGGGAUAUCCUAACGAUCCCUUACUAACUUGAACAUGUCUCCAUAAGCACUGUUUCCAAGCCAGGACUCGUCCAUCAGCACAGCCCCGUGGGAGGUGUGAAUAAAGGCAUCUUCGGAGAAGUGCAAAUAUGUUUUCAUCGUCACACAGGACCUAAGCUGAUCCAAUGGAGGUGAGCUGCGAACGUUACAGCUUCAGGAGUAACCUCCAGCGACUCUUUUCAUUUCCAAUCAGAUCGUCUCCAGGGCCUGUGACACGCCAUGCUCUAAAUGCUGCACAGGCCUUAUCUCUUUUCUUCUCCCAACAACCUUUUGAUAGAGGAAGUCCUUUCUAAUCUACCCAGAGGGAAUCUGAGUCUAAGUUCGGUUCACUGGUAUAUUGUGUGUGUGUGUGUGUGUGUGUGUGUGUGUGUGUGUGUGUGUGUUUCUCACAAGACUGCCUCUGGGUGGGACAAGCACUCUUCUGUUCCCAUGGUGCCAUGGUCCCUUAUUACUAUAGUUGUACUUGCUUCAAAGAUAGGGAACCACUUCAUAAAAUAGCUGCACUGAGAUAUCCACAUAUUGUAUCAGUUAUGCAUUUAAAGUUUGUGUAAAAACCUUCAAUUGUCAGCUUAACUGGAUUUGUAUUCUUUAGGAGACAUACUUCUGGGUGUGUCUGUGAGGAUGUGCCAGAGAGGUUUAACUGAGUAUGGAAGGUGUGCUCCGAAUAUGGGUGGCACCAUUCCAUAAACUAGUGUCCUAGACUGGAUGAAAAGGAAGAAGGAGGAAGCUGCCUGAGCCAUCAUGCGUCUCUUUUGUCUGAAUAUGUGAGCAGUGGCCUCAUUCCUCCCCAUAUAUUUUCUGAUGUGACAGACUGUGUCCCUCCAAACUGAGAGCCACACAAUAGCCUGUAUCCCUUCAAACUGUGAGCCAUGUAACAGAUUGUAUCCCUUCAAACUGUGAGCCAUGUGACAGAUUGUAUUCCUUCAAACUGUGAGCCAAGCAAACCAGUCUUCCUUCCUUGUGUUGCCAGGUGUUUUCCCUCAGUAAUGAAAAAAAAAUAACACAAGGUGAAAGUCAGUGGUUAACAUACAUGGAUGCAUGCAACCUUCACCACAGCCAACCCAUGAACGUGCCCAUCACCUUAAGGGAAAGUCAGUGCCCCAUAAUGAUCAUUUCCCUCUGCUCCCUCCAUCAACCCAAAGCAACUACUAAUCUUUUUUUUCUUUUUAUCUUUAUGGAAUUUCCUAUUCUAUACAUUCCAUGUAAACAAAAGCACACAUAUGACUUUUUGUGUCUGCCCUCUUCCAAUCUCAUAAACAUUGUAGAAUGUAUCCAUACAUUACUGGGUAAAUAACAUUUCACUGUAUGGAUAAGCCACAUUAGGAAUGAUGUUUCAGAAAACAAUUCUCUUGAAAUACAGAAUGUCUUUACUCAACAAAUGAUGUGUGAUUAACAGAAACCUGUUAAGGAAUGUGAUUUGAGGCCCAUAAAUGCUUCAUUCCUCGGGUCCCUAGCAGUGCUGGGUUGUUUUUUUGGUUUUUUGUUUUUGUUUGUUUGCUUGUUUUUUGCUUUUAUCAAGAAGCUGUGGUGGACUUUAAUAAAAUUUUGUUAGUAAACUUUUCUACUUUUGUUGAUAUGAGGUGGAAAUCCAGAAUAUUAACAGGACUGAAGAAUCUUUCCAGGACUUCUCAGAAAUCACAGAAAUAGGAACUAAGGAGAGAUCUAAGUAAGUAAAUGCCUAGCAAUGAAUCUCCAGAGCUCACACACACUUGUAAUUCUAGCCCUGGGAAGGCAGAGGUAGGCCAAUCUCUGGGCUCACUCCACAGAAAGUUUCCAAGUUCCAGGCCAAUGAGAAGCCAUAUCUCAAACAACAACAAAAAGUCAGAUGGAGCCUGAAGUACUACACCUGCAUAAAUCUAUACACAAAAAAGCAGCAGAAACAGAGAGGAGCAGCUGGGGCAACCAAUCCAGGAGCCGAAAGGCAAGUUCUAGACUCUAACUUUUCUCUUAGACUCAACAAACAGACUCACUAAACAGGGAAUUGAAAAUGUCCUUAAGGGGCUGGAGAGAUGGCUUAGUGGUCAAGAGCAUUGACUGCUCUUCCAGAGGUCCUGAAUUCAAAUCCCAGCAACCACAUGGUGGNNNNNNNNNNNNNNNNNNNNNNNNNNNNNNNNNNNNNNNNNNNNNNNNNNNNAGGAAGGAAGGAAGGAAGGAAGGAAGGAAGGAAGGAAGGGAAAAGAAAGGAAAUACCCUUAAUAUCAAACUAUGAUAGCCUACCAUCAAAAUAUGCCAUGUUUCAGACCCACCCUCAGUUCCUGGGGCCAGAGCCCUGGAUCAAGGUUUGUUUGUUUUACGGAAAGGUUAUUUUCAGUUAAUCAGGCAUUCAAUAGAGCUGAAGAACUACUCCCUUCCUGCCCCACUAGACCCAUCUUGAGCUGAGAAGCAGCCUAGGGAACCAGAAGAAGGGGAUUAUAGAGGGAAUUCUUGACCUAUUUACCCCUCUCCAGAGUGAAACAUUCAGUUAGAAGACACUCACAUGCUGACUUUGAUUCAUUAGUUAAGGCUGUCUAGAAGGUUGUGCUAAGUAGAUUUUGAUCUGGGAUCAAUUAGCCAUGUCUGCACUGUGCAAAGGAGCAGGGUACCCCAUCUCCUCACACACGGCCACUCUGGACAGUACUCUCCAAAGGUCUCUUGGGCUUAGACAUCCUGCAAUCUUAUAAUUUCUCUUACCUUUGUUCUUUUCCUUGUCUUCUCUGAGAAUCUAUUUUGAAGCCGUUUCCAUCCACCAGUGACAGUGGCCUACAGUGGACUGUAUGUACCUAGAGGCGUGUAAGAGUGAGUCUGUGACAUGUAAAUUGGAGACAGCCCAGGGUAGAGGAGGCUAGCUAUCCUAGAGAUGAGAAGUCACUAUGAAAGGCUAGUCAACAUAGAACUGAAUCUCACAGAAUAAAGCAGCUAACAUGGGUAAAGCGAUCACAUCAAGCUAUUCACCAUGAGACAAACACAUGCUAUUGCCUUCAUCUGCCUAGAUAGAUCAUGAAGGGUUGAGAAAGUAAACUCUGUCUUUAAUAAAAACAAAAACAAAGGCUUUCAUAAACCAAUAAGGCACUUGUUGUGUAAGCACAAGAACCUAUGUUGGAGCCUUAAAACUCACAUAAAAAAUGUCAGGUGUGGUAGCAUGUGGUAGCAUGAAUCCCAGUGCUGAGGAGACAAACAGAUCCCUGGAGUAUGCUGGCCAGCUUGCCUAGUCAAAUCGGCGAGUUCAACACUAAGUAAGAGACUCUAUUUCAAAAACAAGGAGGCUAGCACCCGAGGAAGGAUACCAGAAGUUGAUCUCUGGCCUCUACAUGUGCACAGAUACAUACACCAACAUGUGAACAUACCUGUGCAUACACACAUUUGCACUAAAAAAAAAGUGUCAAGAAAGACCUGGGAUGUAGCACAGUGGUUGGAAGAAUAGGAAAAGCAAAGAGAAUUUCAAGCGAAGGCAGACUGGGCAGGUAUAGUGCCUCUGUCAGUGACUAAGAGGCUUAUCUAGUUUCUCGCUUGAGAGGUCCUUGAGACCCUGUGAUGUCCCUGUCCUAGGGGUUUGGGGAGUACCUGGCACUAAGUGAUCCUACUUCCUCAAAACAGCCCAGCAUCCCAGCGUUCUUCACUCUGAGUACUUGGGGGCACCAGCCUGGGCCUGUGGAUUGUUCAGAAACGGGCCCUCCCAUCAGCAGGGCAGCGGCUUGCUCUCUUACCACAGAGGCUCUGCACUCACCAGUUCCAAUAACACGAUUAGUCAUUUUUCAUUCCUGAGAUAUCUGCCCAUGGGUGGGUGCGUGUGUGCAUGUGUGAGGGUGUCUGUGCCUUUCGUGGAAGGGAAAAUCCAUAUUCUCUCUCUUCUGCCCGAAUUAAUCAAAUAAAUCUUCUGUAAGAAGCUGCUAAAUGAGUCACAGAUGGCUCUGCCCUUUUACAGGUUACAGAAAGCACCCGUUACAGUCUUUUUAAUUUAUCAGAGGAAAAAAGAUGCCCUCCUGUGCCCCUUCCCUCUCACAGUAAUAAUCAGAAACAGCCUAUUUUCCGAGGGUCCGAGACUCAUUUUCAAAAAAAAAAAAUGUGUAUCAAUAGAUGUAACAGUGGGAAGACUAUUUUGCCAAGUUCCAGCCUCCAGCACGGCAAAGGUGCCCUGGCUGGGGAGAGCAUUUAUAAAACCACAUUUAAUAAAAGAGAGUGUUAUAUUAA
ensembl:antisense Emx2os Emx2 opposite strand/antisense transcript (non-protein coding)